rnacentral:rRNA from 1 species
GGCGGCGUGCCUAACACAUGCAAGUCGAACGGACUGAUCCCUUCGGGAUGAAAGUAGUGGCGGACGGGUGAGUAACGCGUGAGCAACCUGCCUUUCAGAGGGGAAUAACGUUUGGAAACAGACGCUAAUACCGCAUAACGCAUAGGUGUCGCAUGGCAUUUAUGCCAAAGGAGCAAUCCGCUGAAAGAUGGGCUCGCGUCCGAUUAGAUAGUUGGUGGGGUAACGGCCUACCAAGUCGACGAUCGGUAGCCGGACUGAGAGGUUGAACGGCCACAUUGGGACUGAGACACGGCCCAGACUCCUACGGGAGGCAGCAGUGGGGGAUAUUGCACAAUGGGCGGAAGCCUGAUGCAGCAACGCCGCGUGAGGGAAGACGGUUUUCGGAUUGUAAACCUCUGUCUUUGGUGACGAAGAAAUGACGGUAGCCGAGGAGGAAGCCACGGCUAACUACGUGCCAGCCGCCGC